GAUGAACGCUGGCGGCGUGCUUAAUACAUGCAAGUCGAACGGAAAGACCCUGCUCUUGCUGGGUGCUCGUUUGGCGAACGGGUGUGUAACACGCGAGUAUCCUGUCCUUAUCUUUGUGAUAACUCCUGGGAACUGGGGCUCAUACCGCGUAGGAUCUCCUGCAGCAUGGUGGUGGAUGGAGAGUGUCGGCGGUGGGGGAUGGACUCGCGGGUUACCCGCUUGUUUGUGUGGUAGUUGCUUACCAAGGUUUUGACGGGUAGCCGGCCUGAGAGGGUGACCGGCCACAUUGGGACUGCGGGACGCCCCAGACUCCUACGGGAGGCAGCAGUGGAGAGUAUUGCACAAUGGGCGGAAGCCUGAUGCGGAGACGCCGCGUGCGGGAUGACGGCCUUCGGGUUGUAAACCGAUUUCGCCUGUGACGAGGCGUGAGUGACGGUAAUGGGUAAAGAAGCACCGGCUAACUACGUG
rnacentral:rRNA from 1 species